AACGUCCACGUUUCCCCUGGUCCAUCAGAACAUCGGUCGCCUCCCCUCAGCUGUCUGCAGCCUGCCCUGCCCCUAGGUGCUUGAGAGAUGCGCUUUCAAAUGACACGUUGAGAUUCAGCAGUCAAUACUCAAAUCUAGUGAGUCGGGAGCACAUUUCUUUCCCGAAUAAAAUAGUAACGGUAAGUAUGACUUCACUAAACUUUUGCUUCAGUUGUGUCUCUAGCCAUGUAUGUAUGUGCAUACACUGUCAAGUUGUAAAAUUUUUUCUUACUGUAGGUCAAAGUCUAGAGGUUUUUCUCAAAUUUUAAUGUCUAUCUUGAUCACCGGGAAUAUCGUUAAAAGAAAAUGCAGAUUCUAAUUCAGUAGGUCUAGGAGGCAGGCUGAGAUUCUGCUUUUCUAGUGAGCACCUUGAUAGAGCCUCCCACUUUGCACCGCCUCUUCCUGAGGCUGAGUGAGUAACUGAAUGAUCACCUAUCACGAAGCGAUAAUGGUUGGAAAUGUAAUUUUCAGAAUGUAUAGAGUAUAGCAGAAACUGUAAAAUUAAAAGUGGCUUGGGAGUCAGCUGAAUGCUUGUGCUUUUAUUCCCUUAAUACAGGUCAAGAAAGAGAAUACUUAGCCUCUCAUGUGCAAAAGUAGUAACUUUCCAAUUUCCUUUCUUGCUAGGGCAACCAGAUUUGCCCAAGAUGUUCCUGGUGUACUUGUUUUAUAGCUUAAAUAUUAAUAGAACCCCCUUUCUCUUUCUGAUAUGUCCUGACUGGAUAAUAAACUAUGUGAUGAACAUACUUCCAGCUCUCAAAGAUAUGAUUCUGUACAGCCCUCUGGUCAGAUAUUCCAGCGACUCAAUGAAUUCCUUUACCUACGAGGAAGAUGGCAGAGGCCAGGGUUUGUGCCGCCGUCUCCAGGGAAUAAAGGAGAAGAGUAAACAUUCUAUCUCAUCAACUUUAAGCUUGACCCUGUGGCCAACGGAAUGUGAAUUUCACAUAGAAUCCUUAUGAAGCAUCACAAAUUUGCAACAGAGCCCUUGCUCUUCUCCUGUGCUGUCAAGCUUCCUCUCUCAUCUAUUUCACUGAAUGAGAAGACAUGUGAAACAGACCUAUAGCUUGGCUGCAGUCAAUCCACAGCUGAAAUAUAACAUGAGCAAGGAAUAAGCCUUUGUUGUUGUAAGCCAGUAAGAAUUUCGAGUUUUUGUUACUGCAGCAAAACUCAUACAAAGAGGAUUCAACAAUUCAUUGACGAGAAGUAGUCCAAGGAGAAAGUUGCGAAAGUGCAAAAAUGAUAAUCUAAGAAAGAAAUUGUGACUGGAAGCUGGGAAGUCGGGACAGCCACUAAGAAUGGGAAUAUAAAUUUGGGUGGGUAAAUACUUUAAAUUUUGCCAGAUGUCUUCUUUUAUAUUAUACUGCCAAGUGGUUAUAAGUAGGGGCUCUGAGACCAGGCACUUGGGUUCUAAUUCACAAUCCUCCAUUGGCAAAUUGUUUGUCUUUGGUCAAGUUACAUAAAGUCUUCUCUAAAACAGGAUAAUAAAUAGGAUUGUAUACUCA
rnacentral:lncRNA from 13 species